rnacentral:tRNA from 1 species
UGGCGGGCCUGGGCGAGGGAGGCCGCCAUGCCCGCCAGCCGCAGGCGCGGGUGUUUCUGCACAAGCUCGGCGUGCAGGCGCGCCAGCUCGCUCUC